CACACGACUCUCGGCAACGGAUAUCUCGGCUCCCGCAUCGAUGAAGAACGUAGCGAAAUGCGAUACCUGGUGUGAAUUGCAGAAUCCCGUGAACCAUCGAGUCUUUGAACGCAAGUUGCGCCCGAGGCCAUUCGGCCGAGGGCACGCCUGCCUGGGCGUCACGC
rnacentral:rRNA from 1 species